GGGCUUCCUGAGUAGGGAGUAACCAAUUUAUUGCUGCAGCUCUCUUUCAUCACUGAGUUUUAUCGUCAGUUUUGGUGCUCUUUGGGCCUAAUUUCCCAAAGACAUUCAGCAGUAGGUGUCACUCUAAAUCUGGCCCCUCAAAAUUCUGUUCCCGGAUUAUUCAAUCAAUCAUUUAAUCUCAGAACUGCUGUGAAGGAUACUUACAAGUGGUUUGAAGGUUAUGCUCAGCUGACGUGAAAUUGGAAGGAUCAUCCUGGUCCACCUGGCCAGCAAGGAAUCAGGAACUUCAAUUCUACAACUAUAUGGAACUGGAAUCUGCCAACAACUGAGUGAGCUUGGAAGUGGCUUCAGCCCUGCAGCUUCCAGAAAAGAGGCAGCCCUGCCAACACUUUGACUUCAGCCUUGCGAACCGUGGAGUUGAGAAACAGAUGAGCCACACUGUGCCCAGAUUCUGAUCUGCACAACAUGAUAAGCUUGUGUUGUUUUAAGCCGCUGGGUCUAUGGUGAUUUAGUAUGGCUGCAGCAAUGGAAAACUAAUACAUAUACUUUUUUUUUUUUUUUUUUUUUUGGUACUGGGGAUUGAACUCAUAACCUCAUCCUUGCCAGGCAGGCGCUUAGGGUACUGAGCUAAAUCUUUGGCCCAAAAUAUACACUUUUGAGAAGAGAUAGAUUUAUACCUUUGGUAGUUCCUUUUUUAUUUUAAAGAGAAAAAACAGAGGAAGCAAGAAGCAAACAAGCCAUCAAAAAACAGCAAAAGCAAAACGAUAACAACAAAAAUAACAACAGACAAUAGUUCCUUCUGAGUGUUCUCAAUGUUGUAGAAUGUCUUGUCUGUUCAUUUGAAUCUUUAAUUUAUUUUUCUUUAAAAAAAUUUGGGCGAGGGGCAGUGCUAAGGCCAGAACCCUAGGCCUUGUAUGUUCUAAGAAAGCACUUUACCACUGGGCUACCCCCACUCUUGAAUCUUUUAUUAUGAUAUGAAGGAAGUAGUUGGUCAUUCUGACCCAAGUACUGUCACUAUUCCUUUUAUUGCAUCAGCUGGGGACUGGCUAGUGCUUUUCUAAUAUUUUCAUCCAUAACCCUUGCAGCUAUAAUAACAGCCUGUUCUAUGUACAUAAUCAGAAGUACAUAGCUUCUAUUUAAACAGAUAUUUACUGGAAUUAAGUGUCUGGCUCUUUGCUGGACUCCGAGCUACAGAGAUUGCAAAUCAUAUUCUCAUGGACUAACACAGACACAGAAUAGCAGCAGCCAAGAGCCCCUCCGCAGACCAACUGCUGCCACUUCUAGCCAUGCCAUGGCUCUGUCCUCCCUCUGUGGUGGUGGUGGGGACUAGCAGGUAAGUACAAGGAGGCAUCAGUUGUGUGUCCCCUGCCCAGCACUCUGCAACUGCCAUGUGUGUACACUUGCUGAUGUAGUCACUGGUAUGUCACAGAUUGCUCAGUUUAGAUGGGUUUUGCCACUGUGAUGUCACUUGGGACACACGUGUGAACCCAUCUGGCAGGUAAAGAAGCUGAACCAAUGUGGGAAACAGAACAUGUGGGGAACAGAAGGCAAAGUUGGUGCUCACACUGCCCUCUGAACAGAAUAAUCCCACUGGAGACAAAGGUUUUUGUAAAGAGCAGAGUGUUUGCUUUGUGAAUGGAGACCUGGUGGGGUCACUAGGUGCAGUCAUUUCUGGUGUUGCCUGGAGGAUUUCCUGGGCCUCCUAGAGCUAUUUUCUGAAGCUUGCAGAACAAGAGGCGAGACUGGCUUGAGAGGGACAAGUCACAUCACUGCCCCUUCCUGUCUGCUAAGAAUAAAGCAGGACAUGCCACUUCCUGUGUCCUGCAAAAUCUGUCAGAAUAAAAAUGAAAUAAUUUUUAUCAAAUCCUGAGAGAAAGAGAGAGAGAGUCUGGAAGAAGCUGGAAAUGGUAUCUCAUGUUUAUAAUCCCAGCAUUCAAGAGGCUUAAGUAGGAAGAUUAUGAGUUUGGGGCCAGUGAGUUAUAUAUCACAUUCAACCUGGGCUACUUACAAAGACCCAGUCUCUGAAAGGAAGAAGAAAAAGAAAGAAGAGGAAGAGAAGGAAGAGGGAGGAAGAAGAGAAAAAGAAGAAGUUGCCAGGUUAUGAAGGAGAGGAUUUUAGAAAUGCACGUUUAAUAAUAAGAGCUGUCAUGAAUGACGGUCGAUGCAGUACAGUGAAAUGGCACACAUCUAGGAUCUCUGCUACCUGCUUCUUGAGGGCAACCUGGGAAACUUUUUAAAAUCCUGUCUCAAAAUUAAAAGGUCAUGGAGUGUAGCUCAGUGGUGGAGGGCUCAAUCACCAGUACCAAAAGAAGAAAAGACGAUAGAAAGGGCUCUAAUGACCCACCUCACUAUGUCAUGUGUCUAGCAACUGUCACCCAGUCUUGGGCUGAUGCCAUCUUGUUACUGAUCUUUGCAGCCAUAGGUGCUUGUGGUUCAACACGUCUCACAUAACCCUUCUCAUUCUGCUUUUAACACUGUCUCUUUACUCUGGACUCUUCAAAUAUGCCCAGGAUUUCUAUGGCAUAUGUAUUCUGUAUUGCAAUGCUCCCUGCUUAUUCCCCUGAAAAUAUCAUAAUUUUUUUUGUUUUAAUGUUUAUGGUGCUAGGGAUUGAACCCACAACUUCACACUGUUCUACCACGGAGUUACAUCCACCAUUGUUUUGUUUUUUAUUUUGAAACAGGAUCUUAUAUUAAGUUGCCUAGGUUAGUCUGGAACUUACAAUCCUCUUCCUCCAGCCUCCUGAGUACUUGGGAUUACAGGUAUGCACCACAGUCAGGCUAAGACUGUUCUUUAGAGAAUAUCCCCCUCUUUUAUUUAAGGCUGAUUAGUCUGAAACUUGCCCUUCAAAGGCCCCUCUUCAGUGCUCUUCCACCUGAGAAGGCUUCCCCUUACCCCACCAAGAGGUCCACCCUGAAUUCUCACAGCACUGUGACAAAAGCUCCCCACACUGACUCCAACUCAGUCUCUCUGCUCAUCAGAGGAUUGGCAUUGUUGGUCCCCUAGGCCACACACAGCCUUGCCUCCUGCCCAUGGGUGUCCUCCUCCUAGCCCCCAUGGACUCUGGGCACUAUGGACAAGGUGAAUUACUCACUUUUCUGUUUUGAGGCACUUUCCAGGACGGCACAGGAUGUUUUGGAAGAGAGAAACACCUCCACCAUGGAAAGGAACUGAGUUUCUGGCACUGGGUUUGAACUGAAAGGUUUCAGGCUGCACAGUCUAGAUAAACUUCACCCAAAAGCCCUGAGCAGGGGUCAGGAAGCAAGAUACGCGUGCUGUUAGGGAGACACCUCUGUCACACCCUACUCCAAAAGCAGCACCCUUGCUUGCAUAUUCCAGAACUCUGGGUCCCUGGACAUCCUGUGAGGAUGACCUCUUCCCAGACCUCUGAGACAGUUGGCUGGUGAAUCCAUGUAUGAGUGUAAGCCAACUGCCACAGCCAGCUUCCAAGCAAAGUUUGUUUUUUACUUUAUGCCUAUGUUUUUGUGUGUUCCUCUCCACCACCACCAUGCUGGUACUGAUGACUGAACUCAAGGCAUUGACUAAACUAUAUCUUCAGCAUUUUAGUAUUUAUUUUGAGGCUAAGUCACUAAGUUGCCCAUGGUCACUCUCAAUAACUAAAUUGCUCAGGCUAAUCCCAGUUGGUACCGGGGAUCAAACUCACAACCUUGCAGUUGCCAGGCAGGUGCUUAAGCCACUGAGCUAAAUCCGCAGCCCUAAACUCAGAUUUUUAAUCCUCCUACCUCAGCCUCUGAGACUUCUAGGAUUACAGAGUGUUCUCAAUGUUGUAUAAUAUCCUAUCUGUUCGUUUGAAUUUCUAAUUUAUUUUUCUUUAAAAAUAUUUUUUAAAUAUUUAUGUUUUUAAGCCCCAAAGACUGCUGUUUCUCAAAAGAACUGGGUCUUUAAUGUGAGGACUUUGUGAAAAAAAAAAAAAAAGGACUGGGUCACUGUGCUUCCUCAGAAGAUCCCUCUCAGGGCUGAGAAUCCAGGUUCUGUGGUUCCAGCUUGCAGCUGUUGGGCAGCAGCUAACCAACAAUGCCUUAUAUCCCAGUGUCCUCUUCAUUUUGCUCUAACUCUCUCACCUGCGCCUGCCUCAAGAGGCAGGUGAUAGGGCAUGGCCAUGCUGCAAGAGAGCAGCCCAGCUGCAAAAUGCCCUUCAUGUGCCAAGACACACCCCAUCCGCGGUACAUGCUGAAUGGUUGGCAGGCAGGAUUGUACUGGUUACAACAGAAGGAAAAUGGUGUUGUUAACCAACAUCCCCUUUCUACUGACAUCCCAUCAUUUUAUUUGUAUGUGUUUUGUUAUAAAUUAACAAUUGCAUCUGAGGAAAAGAGCUCAAACAAUAAAGAAAAAAUGUAAACAUUGUCCUGUCUCACUCCAGCUCUGCUCCUGGAGGUGGCCUCUCUUUAACUAUUGCUCUUACUGUGGGUAACUCCCCAGCUGUGAAGUGUACACCCCAUGUCUUAACUUCUCUGAUAGUAUGGAGUUUGUCUGACUGUAGCCUAUAAAAAAUGCAAAAUGAACACAUGCAUGCAACAUCCCUCAUCUCAGCCUGUCAAUUUGUUUAUUGCUUUUAUUUCUUCUAAUCCAGUGUCUUCAAAGAGGGUCCUUGUGAACAACUGCUUAAAAUGCAGAUUACCUGGCCCAAGAUUAUAAUUUUUAGAAUUUGUGGUUAGUAAUGUGUUAAAAAUGCAUGUUACUAAUUAGUGCAUUUUAAAAUAAAAAACAUGCAUUUUUAGUCAUCACCCCUAGUUAAUUCUUUUUUCCUGGUUAAUUCUGAAGUACACUAAAUUUUGGAAUCAUCAUACUUAUACCUCUCUUCAUAACUGUAUAUAAAUCCUCAACUAAGACAUUAUGUUUGCUCCAUCAAAAACUCAACUAAGGAAUGACAUUAGUGAAAAUAGAGGAGUAAAAACAUCCACAUUUCAUCCCUCCAUAAAAGCAAUGAAAAAGUUGACAAAAACUCUAAAACUUUCUUAGAACCAAAGGCUUACAGAAAACUAGGAAAAACAUUCAAAAAUGGCCAAUUCUCAAUAAGAAAUAACAGAUAAAAUUUUCCCUAAUGUGAUGAAUUUUGAGUUAGUAAUAGAAUUUUUUUUCUAGCAAAGAGAAGCCCAGGACCAGAUGGGCUAUUAAAUACUACAAACAUAUUUUUAAAAGUUUUAAUAGAAACACUUCUCAAAUGCUUCUGAAGAUGUAAGAGAGGGAAUAUUUUCUAACUGAUUCUAUUAGGCCAGUUUUAGCCAGAGAAAGCUACCAUAAGACAAAUACAGACCAAGGUCCCUUAGAAAGUAGAUUCAACAGGACCUGGGGUUUAGCUCAGUGGCACAAGUGCCUGCCUGGCAAGCGCAAAGUCAUGAGUUUGGUACUAAAAAAAAAGUAGAUGCAGGUCAGGUGCGAUGACUCAUGCCAGUAAUCCCAGAAUUCAAGAGGCUGAGGCAGGAGGAUUGCCACAAGUUCAAGGCCAACCUGGGCUACAUAGUGAGCACAAGGCCAGCCUGGACUAGCUAGCAAGACCCUGUCUCAAAAACAACAGCAAAAAAAUAGAUGCAAAAAAUCUUCAACAAAUCUAGCACACUGAAUUUAGCAAUGUAUUAAAGGGAUUAUAUACCACAACCAAGUAGAGUUUAUCCUAGGAAUACAAAGUUGGCACAAAACUCAAUCAGUAUAAUACAUCAUAUUAAUAGAAUAAAUGGGGAAAAAACAUAAGAUCACCUAAAUAGACACAGAAAAGUUUGCCAAAGGUGCAUUUGACAAAGAUAAAACAUAUUUUCAUGAUAAAGCCAUGCAAUAAACUAGUAAUAUAAGGGAACAUAAUCUGAUAAAACCCACAGCUACCAUCAUUUCUAACAGUAAAAGACUAAAAAUUCUCUCUCUGCAAUUAUCAACAAGACAAAGAUGUCUACUCUUGUCACUUCUACUUAACAUGCAUUAGAGGUUCUAGACAGAGCAAUUACAUACGAAAAAGAAAUACAAGUCAUCCCAGCUGGAAAGGAAGAAAUAAAACUAUCUUUUUUGCAGAUUGCAUGAUCUUGUAUGUAGAACAUCCUAAAGAAUCUACAAAAACAAAACAUAAAGUUAAAAAUCUUUAUACAUCAUGAGAAAUUAUUGAGGACUAUGAGUCAGAUGGAAAUCUCGUCAUUUGACUCACAAAACAGUUGUAAGGGCCAAUGCUAAUGCUGCAGUCCUUCUUCUCCGGGGCCCACGGCCCCUUUCGCUGUGUAGCUUCUUGCUGGUGUUCAACUCAGCCCUGGUUUAUCCCUCAUUGUGAUCUUAUCCACUCCCUUUCUCCCAAAAACUAUCCAAACUCCUUCAGAAUUUCUGAUCGACUGACGAUCUUUAUUAUUUCCCAUAUUGAUACAGGUUUAUUCGUUUUCAAUAACUUCACUGUUCUGUUAAAUGGGACUUGGGGAGAGUAAACAUUCUGUCCAGUAUCAUAACCUUUUUCCUAGUCUAGCAGCCCCGACCCUGCUUUGAUUCCGGCUCUUUGUUAUUUGGUUUUGUUUGUGGCACUGGGGAUUGCACAGAGUCACCCUACUGCUGACUCUUGCCUCUUUGUUCCCGAGCUUGGGCCAGUCACAGUUGAGGAUCUGGCAGCAGAUCUCAUGGGUCUAGAAGGCUCUAAGUUUGCUAAGUCUCAAGUGAAUUAGUCCAUUUUCUGCUGCUAUAAUAAAAUAGUUAAGGCUUAGUUCAGUGACGGUGUAGCAGAAGAUGCCUCCCACCAGGCAGUAUACUUCAGUUUGUUAAUUGCCCAGGGAAUAGUUUCAGUUUCUGCCACUUAUUUCUUAGAAACAGCUGGUCACUGUGAUGCAUAGAUGGUCACUAUGAUGUAUAUUGUGAAAACCAAUCCCCAAAUGACAACCAUUCUGCUUCUGUACUUCCUGCUUGCUUAUCCCAUAUAGGUCCUAGACUACCAGAGAUGAGGGCCUGAUAUUUUGAGGGACAGUUGAUUCCCUAUCAGUGCUCGUCCAAUGUUAAAUAAGUCUGCCUCCAAAUCCUGGGUGUUGUGUUGCUGUUUGCUAUAGGUGAACCUUUUAAAGCUUUCAAUGAUACAAAUAGCCAGCUACAACACAUGUGCCAUAGGCUCACUACCAUUGGGCUAAUGUUUUAUAAAGGGAAGAGGUUUAUUUAGUUCACCUUUUAGUUUGCUGAGUCAGCCUCUAGUAAGGGCCCCCUGGGGGCCUCACAUGGUAAAUGGCAUCGUGCUGGGAGCAUGCAUGUGAGGGAGAGAUCACAUGAAACAGGAACCCAGGCAGCAAUUCACAGGUCAGCCUCACUUUUUUUGACAACUAACUUUAUGAGAGCUACCUUACAACCCAUGAUAACUACCUUGCUCCCUUUGAGUUAGCACCCCCAAUGAUCUAAUCAACUCUCCAAGCCCUGCCUCCUAACACUACCACACCAGGAACCAAGUUUCCAACUAAAGCAUGGGAAUUGGAGAAUUCAAUUCACAUUCCAAUUAUAUCAAACCCAGCCAAACGGUAGUAUGUGACCAUCUCACCUUUCUUUACAGCUAGAUGUGACCAUGUGACCAUUGUCAAAUGCUAGUGUUGUACUCUAAGAAAAUAGCUUCGUUAUAUGUGUAUUAUAGCAAACCUGUAAAGUGGCUUACUAAAUGUUUUUUUUAUCCUUUUUCCCUAACUGAUAUGUUAAGUGACCUAAUUAAUAUGUUGAGCAAUACUCUCCUCUGUAAAGAAUUGCAAGAAUCUCACCUAAUUGAUAUGUUAACCAUUGUUGCCCUCUCCAAACUACAGAAGUUGUGCUAAAACAAGCUAACAAGGGUUGUUAAUCACUGUUAGGCGCCUCUAUUCUCCACUAAAGAGCUAAAGAAAACUAGAAUGGCUCAUUAAUUUAUACUUGUUUAAAGUAACCUGCUUGUGUGCAGAGAGAUUUGCGUAUGAGUUUAACCCUUUACCCUGACCUUGACACAUAACCGCCGUUUUCUGUUCUGUAUGGCGCCUUAUUGCCUCCCUCUCCCCUCACCUAUCUAUCUAGGCCAUAAAGAAUUUGGGUUUCUGGUGACCUCCUCCCGACCUGGUGAUGAUCUGUCAUAAAAUGAACCUGCCCCAAAUUUUAAGAACUGUUUAGCUUCAAAGAAAUUACCGGGAAAUACUAUGGCCCAAACCCCAAUUGGUGCUUUCCUUUUGUUCUGUAUGCAUCAAAUGAGUUAGAUAUCAGAUCUUUUGUAAAACUUAAGUUUCAGCUUCUUGUAACUCUUGACCCCUUCGCACCCACUAGCGAAAACGAGCUGUCCUGGGAUAAUUAACUUCCCCACUUUCUUCUCCAAAUAUUGCUGCAGAUGUGCCACUCCGAGAUAAUGUCAGUCUGUAGGAUGGGAGUAAUUUGAGAAACACCAGGAACUCCUGAGAUUGUCAGAGCUAAGUGGACAGCAAUACAAUUUCCAGACUCGGGUCAACAAGUUUGGUGGCUCUGCAGGUUUCUUUGUUCCUCCCCGCACCCUUUUCCUCCAGCCUCUUUUUAAAGUCCUCCCUUCAGUCUCUGGGACACAGUCUCCAAAUUGGCUCCCGGAGACUGGUCGCCAGGCCUGGAAAUAAAGCCUUUGCCACCUAAAUUUUCGGUCUCUUGCCUCCUUGGAUUUUAUACCGGGGCCCAAGUUAUAACACCAGUUUCUAGGAAACUUUAACUCCAUGGCAGUCCCAGUUCUCAGCUUUGGCAUGGUGAGUCUCUUCCAGGCUACUACCAACCUCAUCCCAGCUGCGCCAGCUCCCUCACUGCUCUGCUGUUGUCCCAUCCCCACGUACCAGUGCUUGUUACUACUCAAGCCCAGGUCUCUCCUUUCCUGAAUGCCUGUUCCCACUUUUGCCUUAGUCCCUACUCAUUUCUGUAAGCCCGCUGGAAAGAUUAGCUCCUCUCAGCAAUUUCCCAGCUCCCCAGCUGGAUGGCUCUGUUCAUCACUUGAGUCUAUAGGGUAUAUUUGCCUCCCCUCUCCAGCGUGGUAUGUUUGAACAUGGAUGGAAAUAAGUGAGCAUAGGAUUUGCAGUGGUCCUCUACAGUGUGUGCACAUGUUUAGCCAGCACAUGCUUCAGGGACAGACCCAGCCAAGGCCAGUCACAAGCUAAGGUAUCCCCAGCCUCCUUGGUGACAGUGUGAAGAUCAGGGAGUGUUUGCAGGAAACAAAGAAGGGGAGCCAAGGGACCAAGGUGUACAUGUCAGCAAGCACCUUAGUCUUGCCGGCCUCUCCAGGGCCAUGAAGAAGCAGGAAGGCACAACAUGUCCUUCUAGGGCACGCUGGCUGCCUGAGAACAGAUCCAGGGAAGGCUGCAAGCCUGAGAGUGCGCUUAUGUCCUCAGCACAGUCUGCCCUCUCCCUGGAUGUCUAGCUCUGGCUGGCUCCUUGUUUGGGCAAAUACUGAUCCAGAUCAGGCCUGAGCGCCAAGUCCCAAGUGCUGGACAAAGGCAGGGGAGUGUCAGAUAGGAUCUGAGGUCUGACUCCUGGGAACAGUGUGGGUGCCCGCCCUGUGUUUGCACCGGUUUCCUGCUCUUGGGCUUUUGGGCUGUCUGUCUGCCAGGCUGGGCACGGCCACAGUCUGAGGAGGUCAGGGAGGCAGGGAUGGGGGCUUCCUCUUCCCAGCCCUCACCAGGCACAGCUACGUGGAGCACGGGGCAGCAUGUGUGAGCUGGUGGCGAGGAACAAGGCUAAAACACCCUAAGUUUCUGGUAUUGGGUGGGAAAAGGACAAAAUUUCAAGCAUUAUUACAACUUUAAAGGAUAAACACUGAAAUACACACAGGGAAAGAAGUUGCCAAGAAGGUAGAAAGAAAAACAGAACAAGAAGCACACGCGAGUAUAUGCACACACAUAGACACAUCAAUUCAAAAGGAGACAGAAAAGCAGAGUGGGUGGGAGGAAUUGGAUAUAAGAUGUUGCAAAGAAAUCCAAAUGUACCUGUAAUCACAAAAUAUGUAAAAGAGCCAGGCACUCCAGAUGAAGAAAAAGGAGAAAAGAA